UACCAAAUAGUUAGCCCACCUAAAGUAACUAAUUAACAUAAUAAAACAUAACAGCUUUAUUUUAUAAAAUAAAUCAUUUCAUCUCUGAAGUACAGGCGA
rnacentral:rRNA from 1 species